CCAGACUCCUACGGGAGGCAGCAGUGAGGAAUAUUGGUCAAUGGGCGCGAGCCUGAACCAGCCAAGUCGCGUGAGGGAAGACGGUCCUAUGGAUUGUAAACCUCUUUUGUCGGGGAGCAAAAGACGCCACGCGUGGCGUUCCGAGAGUACCCGAAGAAAAAGCAUCGGCUAACUCCGUGCCAGCAGCCGCGGUAAUACGGAGGAUGCGAGCGUUAUCCGGAUUUAUUGGGUUUAAAGGGUGCGUAGGCGGGAUGCCAGGUCAGCGGUCAAAUGCGGGGGCUCAACCUGCGUCCGCCGUUGAAACUGGCGUUCUUGAGUGGGCGAGAAGUACGCGGAAUGCGUGGUGUAGCGGUGAAAUGCAUAGAUAUCACGCAGAACCCCGAUUGCGAAGGCAGCGUACCGGCGCCCAACUGACGCUGAGGCACGAAAGCGUGGGUAUCGAACAGGAUUAGAUACCCGAGUA
rnacentral:rRNA from 1 species